UACGUAGGGUGCGAGCGUUAAUCGGAAUUACUGGGCGUAAAGCGUGCGCAGGCGGCGCGUUAAGACAGGUGUGAAAGCCCCGAGUUUAACUUGGGAAUUGCGCUUGUGACUGGCGUGCUGGAGUGUGGCAGAGGGAGGUGGAAUUCCACGUGUGGCAGUGAAAUGCGUAGAGAUGUGGAGGAACACCGAUGGCGAAGGCAGCCUCCUGGGCCAGCACUGACGCUCAUGCACGAAAGCGUGGGGAGCAAACAGG
rnacentral:rRNA from 1 species